rnacentral:rRNA from 1 species
AUGGAGAUCACGAGCAGCACGAUGGUGAAGCCGGCAUACGCCGUGCCGCACCCGCUCGUCGGCGAGAUGGUCCCGCUGACCGUCUUCGACCGCGCCGCCCUGGACAUCUUCGUCCCCACCGUGCUCGCCUACCGCGCGCCGGCGCCGUCCAACGAGGCGCUCAGGGAGGGCCUCCUCAAGGCCGUCGCGCCGUACCCUCACCUGGCGGGCCGCCUCGCCCUCAACGAUCAAGGCCGGCGCUUCCUUCACGUCAACAACGAGGGCGUGCUCCUGAUCGAGGCCACCGUCCCGGUCGACCUGGCGGACGUGCUCGUCGACGGCCGCAUGGCCGCAGGCGUCGAGGAUAUCUACCGGAGGUAUUAUUUGCUGGGUUUUGCUUCUGUCACGACUCACGAGAACAUUGGGGCGGCGCUGCUGCAGAUCCAGCUGAACAGGUACAAGUGCGGUGGCCUCGUGGUCGGCAUAUGCUCCCACCAUCAAGCCGCCGACGGCCACUCCAUGAGCAUGUUUUUCACCGCCUGGGCAACCGCUGUACGCGAGGGAAAGGACUUCACCACGCCGGCCCCAUUCCUCGACCGUGCGAGAACGUCCGUGCCUCGAAGCACGCCGACGCCGGUGUUCGACCACCGGUCACGGGAGUUCACGUGUGGAGACGGAGACACCUAUGCCGUCGUCCCCAUGGACAGGAUCAGAAACCUCACUCUGCACUUCACGGCCGAGUUCGUCGCCGACCUCAAAGCCCGUGUCGGCGCCCGCUGCAGCAGGUUCCAGUGCCUGCUCGCGCACGUCUGGAAGAAAAUCACGGCGGCGCGGGACCAGAAGCCGGAGGAGUUCACCAAGGUGAGGGUGGCCGUGAACUGCCGGGGCAGGGCCGACCCUCCCGUGCCAAUGGACUUCUUCGGGAACAUGGUGCUCUGGGCUUUCCCAAGGCUUCAGGUCAGGGACGUCCUGAACUCGAGCUACGGCAGCGUGGUCGGCGUCAUCCGCGACGCCGUGGCGCGCAUCGACGACGAGUACGUGCAGUCCCUCGUGGACUUCGGCGGGGUGGCGGACACGAACGGGGAGGAGCUCUUCGCGACGGCGGCCACGGCCGGCACGAUGUUCUGCCCGGACGCAGAGGUCGACAGCUGGCUGGGGUUCAGGUUCCAUCAACUCGACUUUGGCACCGGGGCACCGUCCGCUUUCAUACCGCCGGACUUGCCUAUCGAGGGGCUCAUGGUCUUUGUGCCGUCGUGCAAGGCGAACGGCGGCGUCGACCUCUUCAUGGCCGUCGCGGAGGAGCACGUCGCCGCGUUCGAGCAGAUCUGCUACUCGUUCGAUUGA